rnacentral:lncRNA from 1 species
GUCAUUAUCCAGAUUCUCUUGCACAACUAAAGCAUUCAUCGAACUAUUUUUUGAUUUCUUUUUCUUUAUUUGUAACAUCCAGAUAUCCAGUAAUGGAAAUUUGAGUAUUUUAUUAUGGGACAUGAAGAGACUCGGCGAGCUGAUGCCUCAACUCGUCGAGUAGGAUCGCGACUUAGUGACCUAUUUAAUGAACCUGGACUAACCGAGUCAGUGUUGUUAAGGAAAACCCUAAUUGUCCGGGUUUGAGACAUAUUUAAAGGACCUUAUAGCCCUCUUGUACGGCUACCAGUCCAGAGAGAGAUACCUUAGAGAGCUAGAGCGAAGAGUGAGAGAGAUAGAGCCAUUUUAAGCAUUCUUGGUGUGAUUUUGCAAGGGAGAAGUCAUUUCCAGCAAAGGGAGGUCAAGGGAGUUGUUGAUUCAGAGUUCCUGAGCUCAUAUCUUCAUUGUAGAGGUAUCAAAUCGAAUUCCCUUUUCUGUUUUGGGUGAGAUUGGUGAUUUUAGGGUUUUCUACACGUUCCUAUGGCUUGUAGUGAUGAGUAUAGGGUCCCUUUGUGUGAGAGAUCCCAGAUCUGGACCCAUAGAGGUCCAUAGGGCCUUAUUUUGUAUGCUUUAUGUUGGUUCAUUGAGAGAAUGAGACUUUGAUGCCAUUCUUGGAGCCAUUUCUCCAAGGAAAUCCUUGUGAGCUUUGCAUGUAUGUCAAGCCUCAACCUUUACAUGGUUAUUGGUCGUAGGGAAGCGAUAUCUAUGGAUUAGAGGAACAGAUCGGACCUCAAAAGGUCAGAUUUGUGUUGACAUGGGAGCAACCCGCCGAGUCCAUGGGGAGACUCGAUGAGUCGGGUCGGGUUUCCCUCUGAUGUGAAUCCAGUGGAAACCCGUUGAGUGGAAGGUUCACUCGACGAGUCGAGUGAGGCCUUGGCAGAGUCAGAAGACACGCAUGGACUCGCCGAUUCACCCUUGUGUACUCGACGAGUCUGGUAAGAGUUGACCAUUGACUUGAGUCGAGUUUUGUUGACUUUUAGGGUUUGGUCAACAAUUGGUCAUGUGGACCAUUUGAAGGGUAAAAUGGUCUUUUAGCCUUCUUAGAGGACAUGAAAGGGAUUAGUCUAGCCUGGAGAGACGUUAUUGAUUGAGAUAAUUGUUUAUGUGUUUAGGCAGAGGCUAGAUCAGUGUAUACGCGUGCGAGAUCACCAGAGACAUCCGAGGUGAGUCUUCUCACUAUACUUUACCUUGAGUGGCAACCAGAGUUUAUGUGAUAGAGUAUCUUGUAUGCUAUAUAUGUGAUGUGUUGCACUGCAUUAUUUCUAUGUGAUUUAUGUUGUGUGUAUUCCAGAGUUUACAGAGUUAGGACCGGAAGGUCCACAGAGCUAGGACCAGAGGGUCCACAGAGUUAGGGCCAGAGGGCCCACAGAGGUAUAGCCUCGAGUGGCUAAUAUGUGUUAUAUGUGGUAUUUUGGGGAACUCACUAAGCUUCGUGCUUACAGUGUUUUAUGCUAUGUGUUUCAGGUUUUCUCAGGAUCACGGGAUGACACCGGCUCGAUUGUACACACCAGAGGAAGAGUUAUGUUUUUGAGGAUCCUGGAUUAUUAUAUUAUUGAAUAUGGAAUUUUGUUUUGUAAUCUAACAAAAAUGAGAUUUUUACAAAAGUGUUUUAUGAAUUUAGCGAUUUUAAGUGAAAUUUUAGUUUUGAAAAACAUUACGAUGUUACAAGUUGGUAUCAGAGCCUUGGUUUGAGGGAUUAAGAUGCACCUUUGGGUAAAUUUGGACUCAAACUGAGGAAUUGAGAAAAAAUUUCAAAGAAAUGAUUUUUCUAAAGCGAAUAAGAGUUCAAAGAGAAAACGAGAAAGAGCAUUGUGUACAAUCAGCCAGAGCCCGAACGGUGAUUUCCCAAAAUACCCUUGCUUUUGUGUUAUGAGAUAUUUAUGAUACAUUUUAUGAGAUAUGAUGCAUGCUAGAGAAAGGCUAGCUAUUUCAAAUCUUAUGACUAGAGUGGCCUGAUUUGUGAUGCCUUAGCCUAAGAGUUGUUGUUGUAUGUGAUGUGCUUUUGAGUAUUAGAUGAGGGAGAGUAUUCAACAGGAAUCCUUUAGGGGAUUUGAGUAGAGGAGUAAUUUAGAAGAGGUAUCUAUAUGAGCAUAUGAGGAGUCUGCCGAGAGGGUAGCCAUAGGCCAUGUGGGGCGAAGAUGUUAGAGUUUGGUGAUAUCCUUCGAGUAUGAGGAAAGCGAGUGGAUAAUAACCUAAGGAGGUUUUACGUGCUGAACGAGAUGCUUCGAUGCCCGAAUGCUGCUUGCCUCAUGCUUUGUGGAGCUCUCAAUGAUGGGAGUCAGCUACUAAGUGAAUAUGACGAUAUUCAGGAGGUAGAUGGCUGACAUCAUUAGGAGUUCUUCAGCAGCUGAUAGCGGAGAAGUGGUCGAACCAAGGAAGAGCCUAGGUAGUAACCUAGCCAGAUGAGUGCAUUGGCAGAGUAUAGCAUUUUGCUGAGGAGCGAGCACGCGUGAUGGAAUUAGUGAACGAGAAGGUUGAGCAGCUACUUAGGAGCUUUGGGAUGGUCUGUCUGGAAAGUAUGGGUAGAUGUGGCAGGUAGUAUGGGCCCGUACUACCGAAAGCAAAGGAACCAUACUCGAUACAAGGAGUAUUCUGAAGGUUCUAAGUAGCAGAUUGAGGAGUGAUAUUAUGGUUCGAGUACCAUACAUCGUAGCAGAUUAAGGAGUGAUGUUAUGGUUCGAGUACCAUACAUCGUAGCAGAUUGAGGAGUGAUGCUAUGGUUCGAGUACCAUACAUCGUAGCAGAUUGAGGAGUGAUCUUAUGGUUCGAGUACCAUACAUCGUAGCAGAUCGAGGAGUGAUGUUAUGGUUCGAGUACCAUACAUCGUAGCAUACUGAGGAGUGAUGUCAUGGUUCGGGUACCAUACAUCGUAGCAGAUUGAGAAGUGAUGUCAUGGUUCGAAUACCAUGCGUCAUAGCAGAUUGAGAAGUGACGUCGUGGGCUGGGUAACAUGGGUCAUAGCAAAUGAUGCUCGUGGUUCUCCAGUUAUUCGGUCAUGAUUAAUUAGGAGGAGAUUGGACGCAAUGGGGUUUUAGGCUUGAGGGCCAUGAUUGUGUCCGAAGAGGCAUCCCUUGUGAGGGAGGUCAAGAUAAUUUCAAAGUAUUUUGGUGAAAUGUCAGAUAUAGUCGCAAGAUUCGAGGAUAAGUAGAGAUGGCUUAUGGGGGGAUUGCGGCCUAAGCUAAGCAAUCUGCCGAUCGAGGAGACGUCACCUUUUGUGACCUGAGUGGUGCUAUUUAUGUUUCUUGCGGGAAACAUGAGAGGUGUAAGGUUUCAGUUUUGGGUUUAGGAGUAAACCCUGCGGGUUAACAUUGAUGAUGAUCUUCCGCCAGAGUAUUUGGUAGUAUGUCAGCCAUGAGGUAAGGAUAUAUCAUGAGUAUGUAGUCGGAUGGGACUGAGAUGGUCAAUGACCAUGUUGCACCCUAUUUGAGUAUAGUAGGGCAUAUGGUAUCGGUACCAGCGGGUAAUCCAGACAAGUAUAUCAGGCGGUGGUUCUUCUGUCUAAGAUGGGUAUGGAGUAUGGGAAUGGAGUCCAUGUUCUUGUGAUGAACCAUGUGUUGGAACGUUGGUUGGGAAGUAGAGACCGAAGAGUGUGAUGAUUUAUUGAUCCAGUCUAAGAGUCAGGGAUAUUACUGGACGGUUGGGAUGUUCGGUAUUGGGAUGGUUUGAGACUGGAACGACUAGAGACAGUCGUGAUGGGAAGAUCAUGAGGAGCUCAUCGGAGACUUAGAGUAUUUGAGGUUGCUUGAUCUCUUUAAUGGAGGUCGUCGGGCGUUGCGUAGCACCUUCCAAGAGUAGGUGCGAUGUCGAUAGUGGAAACAGUCUGUGGGAUGGAUGGUUUGUGCGCCAAUUGGUGAUGGUUCGGACCCCAAGUGGGGAAGAACCGGGUAUCUUAUUGAAGGGAGUAGAGAUUUGUUAAAAGAGUGGUUAGGAAGUGGGAUUUAGAGACCUGCGGUGCGGAUUCAUGAGACCAAGGUUAUUGGCGAUCGAGGAGAGGUAUAGAGCAAGAUAAUGCAUGUGGUAAGUGUCUAAGAAAGAAUGAGUGUCUCCACAACAGGUGGCUAAUGGUCAGGAACCUGGUAGUGGCCAGGGCCGUUCCAAGUGGAAGGCUCAUAAGGAUGGUAUGCGCAGUUGAGAACUUCUGAGUCAAAGUAUGGAUUAUGUAUGCCCUUUGGAGUAGCUAGAAGAUGAUCGAGCAGCCAACUUCCAGGCUGGUAUGUGUUUUCUUGUAAUGGUUUGAGUAGUAAAGGGAAGAAUUUCGGAAGAUCAUCAACGUGUUCUGGAGAGUUAGCGAUUUCUCUGUGUUCUAAUGGAGUGUUUGGAUACACCGAAGUUGCGCGUUGGGUAAAAUGAAGAAUUAAUUAUGAGGUUCAGAGGGAAUGUAUCGUUGUAUCUGCAUGAUGUUGAGAGUAGGAGAUCAGUGGUUAAGGCAGGACAUUGUAAUGUUCUGUAAUAGUGUUAGAGGAAUCCGAGUAUAAUGCUCUGACUGCCGAAUUAAUUUAUUGUGUUCAUGUAUGCAAGUAGUGCAUAGAGUAUCUGUGUUUCCAGUGGGAGCCUACGAGCAUUGUCGUCAAGAGGGAUCAUUUAGGAAUGAAGUUUGCAACGGGAAAAGGUGUUUUGGUUAUGUCGGUUGUUGUCAGAUAUGAGGAUGUUGGAUUUGAGUGAGUGUGGGCAUCUAUAUAUGAUUAGUCCACAGAGCAGGAGUCAGUGGACGUGGUGUGGUGAUGCUAUGGGGAUCCGUAGUAUUCACUAGUCCGAGGGAGGUUGUUGUGAUGCUAUAGGGAGCCGUAGUACCCACUAGUCAGAGGUAGAUUGUUGUGAUGCUACGGUGAGCCGUAGUACUCACUAGUCAGAGGGAGGUUGUUGUGAUGCUACGGGGAGCCGUAGUACUCCCUAGUCAGAGGGAGGUUGUUGUGAUGCUACGGGGAGCCGUAGUACUCACUAGUCAGAGGGAGGUUGUUGUGAUGCUACGAGGAGCCUUAGUACUCACUAGUCAGAGGGAGGUUGUUGUGAUGCUACGGGGAGCCGUAGUACUCACUAGUCAGAGGGAGGUUGUUGUGAUGCUACGGGGAGUCAUAGUACCCACUAGUCGGAGGGUGUUGUGAUGCUGCAGAGAGUCGUAGUAUUCUCUAGCCAACGAGAGGCAGUUAUGAGGGAGUUCUCUUUGAUCAUAGUGAUGCAGAAAGGGUUUAGGCUUGGGUAGCCCUAAUGGUUGAGUUUUGGGAGCAUGGUGGUUGAACCAGGGGAGAGACUAGGGUCUCUGUCUCUGUCGGGAAACAUUAUUUUGAUUGAGUUGUGUUUGUCGCAACAUGAGGGAAUUGGAAAAGUGAUACUCACGCAGGGGACAGGUUAAGCCAUAAGAUGAGAGUUUCUUUGGGUUGCGAGGUUCCGACUUUAAGACGGACCAAACUCUCGAGUUGAGUUUGGCAUUGAUGGUAUGCGGGUGAGCGAGAUGAGAUUCUGGGAUUCUAAGGUGAAUUAUAAGAUGAAGGGCAUUGUUUUCAUUGGAUGUCCUAAACCUUUAUAGGUCAACCCUCGGGUGCAGGAGAUACUGCGAGAUGCGCGGAGCUAUGUGAAGUUGGUAUCAGAAGUCGGGGUUAAGUCGAUCCUCGGUUGGAUUGUAGUGUUCGUUUGAGGUAAAGAGGAUUUCGUGACUUGAGUGUCACUAGGCCGAGAUAGUCGAGACGAGAAGGAAGUUAGUGAUUCAUGUUGGAUCAUGUUAUGGUGAUGUCUGAGGACACUUCCGAGCAAGCAUGAUUAUUUCUUUUGUGUCCGAGGGUGGAGUGGUGAGGAUUCUUUGUUCGGAUGGUUUCUGAUAGGAUUUUAGUAGAUGUGCCCCAGUGGAGUGUGAAACCUUUUAUCUCGUGGGGCGUGAUUCGGAUGAUUUAGCAUGAUCGCUUUGAGGGAGCGAUAGCCGGUGGUCUGAUUUGGUCCUACGAGAAUCAGAGAGCCAGUGAGUAAUUAGGGUUGAUAUUCGAGGAGCGAAUAUCAUCGUGAUCGCUCGAAUCGGUGGUCUGGCGGGGGGUCAGGCCACUAGAGUUUCGGGCAUUAGGAAGAAGUAUUUUAGCGGCGAAAGAGUUGGUUUAAACUCUGGUUUUGGAAGUUCUACUUGGCUUCGGGUGUCCACAGAGAAAGAUAUCGGUGUAGUAUGAAGAUCAUUUCCGUAGUGCCCUUCGGUUUGAUAAUUUCAAUCUAUAAGUGGCUAAGGAGUGAUUUCGAGGGCGAAAUCUAAUUCAAGUGGGGGAGAAUUGUAACAUCUAGAUAUCCUGGCAUGGAAAUUUGAGUAUUUUAUUUUGGGACAUGAAGAGACUCGACAAGUUGAUGCCNACUUGAUGACUUGUUUAAUGAAGGUACUCGACGAGUCGGGUAUCUGGACUCGCCGAGUCAGUUCUGUUAAGGAAAACCCUAAUUGUCCGGGUUUGAUACAUAUUUAAAGGACCUUAUAGCCCUCUUGUGUGGCUACCAGUCCAGAGAGAGAUACCCUAGAGAGCUGGAGCGAAGAGUGAGAGAGAUAGAGCCAUUUUAAGCA